rnacentral:rRNA from 1 species
AAUAUUGGGCAAUGGACGCAAGCCUGAAGCAGCCAUGCCGCGUGCAGGAUGACGGUCCUAUGGUUUGAAAACUGCUUUUGCACAGGCAGAAAUAGAGUUACGUGUAGCAUAUUGACGGUACUGUAAGAAUAAGGAUCGGCUAACUACGUGCCAGCAGCCGCGGUAAUACGGAGGUUCCAAGCGUUAUCCGGAAUAAUUGGGUUUAAAGGGGCCGUAGGCGGCCUUAUAAGUCAGCGGUGAAAGUUUUUGGCUUAACCAAAAAAUUGCCGUUGAUACUGUAGGGCUUGAAUGUUUGUGAAGUAAGUAGAAUAUGUAGUGUAGCGGUGAAAUGCUUAGAUAUUACAUGGAAUACCAAUUGCGAAGGCAGGUUACUAACAAACGAUUGACGCUGAUGGACGAAAGCGUGGGUAGCGAACAG